AUUAGGUUAUGGGGCUAGGGUAAGGUUUAAGGUUUUUGGCGUAAGGGUUAAAGUAACUGUCCAAUAUUUUUUAAGGAACAUGUUUCAGACCUUUUGGAGCUAGUUUGACCAAAAAAAAAAAGAAAAAGAAAAAAUACAUAUUUGGGGUGUUCGGGCUUCCUGAAGGUAAUACCUGGGUAUUAGGUUAUGGGGCUAGGUUAAGGUUUAAGGUUUUUGGCGUGAGGGUUAAAAUCACUGUCCAAAACCUUUGUAGGAACUCUUUUCCAACCUUUUGGAGUUAGUUAGACAAAAAAAAAAAGAUAAAUGAAAAAAAAAUAUUUGGGGUGUUCGGGCUUCCUGAAGGUAAAACCCGGGUAUUAGGUUAUGGGGCUAGGGAAAGGUUU